rnacentral:rRNA from 1 species
GAUGAACGCUGGCUACAGGCUUAACACAUGCAAGUCGAGUGGAAACGACGGGGAAGCUUGCUUCCCCGGGCGUCGACCGGCGCACGGGUGAGUAACGCGUAUCCAACCUGCCUCUGACUGAGGGAUAACCCGUCGAAAGUCGGCCUAAUACCUCAUGGCAUCGUCUGCGGGCAUCCAACGACGAUUAAAGAUUUCAUCGGUCAGAGAUGGGGAUGCGUCUGAUUAGCUUGUUGGCGGGGUAACGGCCCACCAAGGCGACGAUCAGUAGGGGUUCUGAGAGGAAGGUCCCCCACAUUGGAACUGAGACACGGUCCAAACUCCUACGGGAGGCAGCAGUGAGGAAUAUUGGUCAAUGGGCGAGAGCCUGAACCAGCCAAGUAGCGUGCAGGAUGACGGCCCUAUGGGUUGUAAACUGCUUUUAUGCGGGGAUAAAGUGAGGGACGUGUCCUUCAUUGCAGGUACCGCAUGAAUAAGGACCGGCUAAUUCCGUG